AGCCUCUCCCAGUCCUUCCGAGAAGUUGCCUUUACAAUUCUUCUCGCAGCGACCACUCAGCUUGUCCGGGCUCCAGCUGUCUGAGCACCAUGGAGACGCGGUUCAUUCUCAGCCUUUGGGUCUUUAACCAACUAGGUGCGGUGCUGGGUGACUCGAUCCGGUCCAGUGAACCCGAGGUGUCCAGAUCACAAGGUGACACCAUGACCCUCAGCUGUUCUUAUGAAACCAGCUACACUGCCGGUGUCUAUCUCUACUGGUACCGCCAGUACCCGAACCGAGCCCCGCAGUUCAUCCUCCUGAGAGGAGCAAAAGGAAGCACGUUCAGUGAUACUGCAGGUUUCGCCCAGGAGAGGUUUUCUUCCCAGGCUGGUGGCAGCUCCACAGUUCUGAACAUCACAGCGCUGGAGCUGGCGGACACCGCGGUGUAUCUCUGCGCCCUGCAGCGGGCACAGUGA